rnacentral:misc_RNA from 1 species
AAAAAAAAAAAAAAAAGUUGAAAAUGGGUUUAAUUUAGUAAGUCAUUAUGUUAAUGAUUAAUUAAUAAAAAAAUUUGAAAAAAUAUAUAUAUAUUAAGAUGGCUUAUGGUAUAGCUGUUGGUGGAAAAUCUGUUAUUUGUACAGGUGGCAAAUGGUUUGGUGGAAUUGAAUGAUUUCAUUUUGUAGAUUAUUUUUUAGAUAUUUUUUAAAGUGGCUUUGAUUUAGAUUGUUUUAGGUUUAAUUUUUCAUGGAUUAUUUAGUGGAUUGUUAUGUAGAAAACAUUUUGGUUUCAAAUUCGAAUAAAUUUUUAAGUUAUGUAUUGUUUCUUAUUAAAAUAUUAAUUUUUAUAUUAAUUCUUAUUGAUCGCUUUAGUUAGGUUUCGAUAUAAGUUGUGAUAUAAAUUAUGUCAUUUAAAGUUGAGCAUUGUGUUAAUGAGUUGAGCUAAAAUUUGCCACCUCUCGCUAUUUUCAGUCAGGACUAUUGCAGUACAUAAAUCAACAAUUUCAUUAGUUUGAGCUCGUAUGGUCCAAAUUGAUCCCAUUGAAGUAGCCGAUUUUUACCGUUGUGAUAAAGUUUUGGAAUUGAAGCUAAUUAAGCAUGGGAACGUAAUUCUUGGAAAGAUUACUAAAUAAUAAAUGCUCUUAUGCUCUUUGGUUUUUUAUUUUUUAAUUAUAAAAUUUG